AUGGCGGCCAUGGCCAGGAGCAACAGCAGCAAUGGCCACGGCUACCACCACGAGGCGUCCACCACUUCCUCCUCCUCUUCCUCCACGUCGUUGGCUCGGGGGCGGAGAUCACUGGAGCAGCAGGUCCCCGGGACACCGGGGCGGCCGUUGCUGUUCCUCACCUCAUCCUCCUCGAGCCCGGCCCACCCCCAGCUCGUCUCCUCGAGGAGGUCGGUACCUUCCAAGUGGGAGGACGCGGAGAAGUGGCUGACGCAGUCGUCCGACCACCGCGGCCAUCACCAUGGCAAGGCGGCCUCCAAGCAGCACCACAUUGGAGGACCGGCGCCGGCAACGGCGAGGAGGACCUCACUAGACGCCAAUGCGCUUGCUUUGUACACACUACCUGCAGAGGUGCUCCUCAAAGACAAGUACACCGACAACGUGGAGCCGUCCAAAGAGAGCUUCGUGUUCCGGAGCUCCUACUGCGAGCCGGCCAAGAAUGGCGCUGCGGCGGUGACCUGCGGAGAUGAUGACUUCCACCGGAGGGACGUCGGCACGGAGAUGACGCCCCUGGGGAGCUCCCCGACCUCACGGUGCCACACGCCGGUCAAAAGCACCUCCCCGGCAAGGCACAACACGCCGACGGGCCGGUCGGGGCCCCUUGUGCCGUACAACAGCGGCAGUGGCAUGGACAUCUCGGAGCUGACGGACUGCCAUUUCGCCAAGCUGGACCUGGGCGCGCAGUUCGAUUCCAUGCUCGUCAACUGGAGCUCCAAGGAGGAGGAGGAAGAGGAGGUGUCCAAGAGCCUCAGGCACUUCGAGGCCAGCGCCGGCGACGGCGGCAGAGCCUGCGAUAAGCGGGUUGCCGCCGUCACCGAGUGCCGGUGGGAAGACGAUGAGAGAGCCAAGAGUUGCAUAAGGUAUCAGAGGGAAGAGGCAAAGAUUCAGGCCUGGAUUAACCUGGAGAGUGCCAAAGCUGAAGCACAAUCCAGAAAGCUAGAGGUGAAGAUUCAGAAGAUGCGGUCGAACCUGGAGGAGAAGCUGAUGAAGAGGAUGACGAGCGUGCACAGGCGCGGCGAGGAGUGGCGCGCGGCGGCGCAGGCGCAGCACCUGCAGCAGCUCCGCCGCGCCACCACGGAGCACCAGGCCCGGAGGGUGAAGACGAUCAGCCACCACCUCUCCGGAACAGGGACCGGGAGCAAUGCGUCCUGCGGCUGCUUCCCCUGCAACAGCGACAACAUCAUCAGCGGCAACCUCCUCAACUAUUAG
rnacentral:rRNA from 1 species